rnacentral:rRNA from 1 species
CAGCGCCACAAGUGGCAAUCGUUUAUUUGGCCUAAAGCGUUCGUAGCCGGAGAAUUAACUCUUUUGUGAAAGUGGCCAGCUUAACUGGUCGAAAUGCAAAGGAAACUGAUUUUCUUGAGACCGGGAGGAGACAGAGGUAUUUCGGGGGAAGCGGUAAAAUGUUAUAAUCCUCGAAAGACCAACUAUGGCGAAGGCAUCUGUCUAGAACGGAUCUGACGGUGAGGGACGAAAGCCAGGGGAGCAAACCGGAUUAGAUACCCGAGUAGUCC